ACGAACGCUGGCGGCACGCUUAACACAUGCAAGUCGAACGAGAGAAGAGGAGCUUGCUUUUCUGAUCUAGUGGCGGACGGGUGAGUAACACGUGAGCAAUCUGCCUUUCAGAGGGGGAUACCGAUUGGAAACGAUCGUUAAUACCGCAUAACAUAAUUGAACCGCAUGAUUUGAUUAUCAAAGAUUUAUCGCUGAAAGAUGAGCUCGCGUCUGAUUAGCUAGUUGGUAAGGUAACGGCUUACCAAGGCGACGAUCAGUAGCCGGACUGAGAGGUUGAUCGGCCACAUUGGGACUGAGACACGGCCCAGACUCCUACGGGAGGCAGCAGUGGGGAAUAUUGCACAAUGGAGGAAACUCUGAUGCAGCGAUGCCGCGUGAGGGAAGAAGGUUUUAGGAUUGUAAACCUCUGUCUUCAGGGACGAAAAAAGACGGUACCUGAGGAGGAAGCUCCGGCUAACUACGUGCCAGCAGCCGCGGUAAUACGUAGGGAGCGAGCGUUGUCCGGAAUUACUGGGUGUAAAGGGAGCGUAGGCGGGAUCGCAAGUCAGAUGUGAAAACUAUGGGCUUAACCCAUAAACUGCAUUUGAAACUGUGGUUCUUGAGUGAAGUAGAGGUAAGCGGAAUUCCUAGUGUAGCGGUGAAAUGCGUAGAUAAUAGGAGGAACAUCAGUGGAGAAGGCGGCUUACUGGGCUUGAACAGGCGGUGAGGCUCGAGAGCGUGGGGAGCAAACGGGAUUAGAUACCCUGGUAGUCCACGCCGUAAACGAUGAUUACUAGGUGUGGGGGGACUGACCCCUUCCGUGCCGCAGCAAACGCAAUAAGUAAUCCACCUGGGGAGUACGACCGCAAGGUUGAAACUCAAAGGAAUUGACGGGGGCCCGCACAAGCAGCGGAGCAUGUGGUUUAAUUCGACGCAACGCGAAGUACCUUACCAGGUCUUGACAUCGUAUGCAUAGCUCAGAGAUGAGUGAAAUCUCUUCGGAGACAUAUAGACAGGUGGUGCAUGGUUGUCGUCAGCUCGUGUCGUGAGAUGUUGGGUUAAGUCCCGCAACGAGCGCAACCCUUAUGGUCAGUUACUACGCAAGAGGACUCUGGCCAGACUGCCGUUGACAAAACGGAGGAAGGUGGGGAUGACGUCAAAUCAUCAUGCCCCUUAUGACCUGGGCCUCACACGUACUACAAUGGCUGUCAACAGAGGGAAGCAAAGCCGCGAGGUGGAGCAAACCCCUAAAAGCAGUCUUAGUUCGGAUUGUAGGCUGCAACCCGCCUACAUGAAGUCGGAAUUGCUAGUAAUCGCAGAUCAGCAUGCUGCGGUGAAUACGUUCCCGGGCCUUGUACACACCGCCCGUCACGCCAUGGGAGUCGGUAACACCCGAAGCCUGUAGUCUAACCGCAAGGAGGACGCAGUCGAAGGUGGGAUUGAUGACUGGGGUG
rnacentral:rRNA from 1 species